rnacentral:rRNA from 1 species
UAAAGUUGUUGCGGUUAAAAAGCUCGUAGUCGGAGGUGUGUCUCGGACGGUCGGUUCGCCGCUUGUCGGUGCUCAACUGGCCGGUCCGGACGUCCUGCCGGUGGGGCCGCAAGGCUCCGUCAUCCUUCUUUGGUCCUCUUCACCGAGUGCCUUGGUGGGCCGGCACGUUUACUUUGAACAAAUUAGAGUGCUCAAAGCAGGCCGUUGGUCGCCUGAAUACUGUGUGCAUGGAAUAAUGGAAUAGGACCUCGGUUCCAUUUUGUUGGUUUUCAGAACUCGAGGUAAUGAUUAAUAGGGACGGACGGGGGCAUUCGUAUUGCGACGUUAGAGGUGAAAUUCUUGGAUCGUCGCAAGACGAACCGAUGCGAAAGCAUUUGCCAAGAACGUUUUCGUUGAUCAAGAACGAAAGUUAGAGGUUCGAAGGCGAUCAGAUACCGCCCUAGUUCUAACCAUAAACGAUGCCAGCUAGCCAUCCGCCGAAGUUCCUUCUAUGACUCGGCGGGCAGCUUCCGGGAAACCAAAGCUCUUGGGUUCCGGGGGAAGUAUGGUUGCAAAGCUCAAACUUAAAGGAAUUGACG